rnacentral:rRNA from 1 species
GACGAACGCUGGCGGCAUGCCUAAUACAUGCAAGUCGAGCGAACAGAUGAAGUGCUUGCACUUCUGACGUUAGCGGCGAACGGGUGAGUAACACGUAAGGAAUCUACCUAUAAGCGGGGGAUAACAUUCGGAAACGGGUGCUAAUACCGCAUAAUAUCUUCUUCCGCAUGGAAGAAGGUUGAAAGACGGCUCUGCCGUCACUUAUAGAUGAGCCGAUGCCCGAUUAGCUAGUUGGCGGGGUAAGAGCACACCAAGGCGACGAUCGGUAGCUGGUCUGAGAGGAUGAUCAGCCACACUGGAACUGAGACACGGUCCAGACUCCUACGGGAGGCAGCAGUGGGGAAUAUUGGACAAUGGGGGCAACCCUGAUCCAGCCAUGCCGCGUGUGUGAAGAAGGCCUUCGGGUUGUAAAGCACUUUUGUCCGGAACGAAAAGCGUUCGGUUAAUAACCGGACGUGCUGACGGUACCGGAAGAAUAAGCACCGGCUAACUUCGUGCCAGCAGCCGCGGUAA